AGCGAACGCUGGCGGCAGGCUUAACACAUGCAAGUCGAGCGGGCCCUUCGGGGUCAGCGGCAGACGGGUGAGUAACACGUGGGAACGUACCCUUUGGUUCGGAAUAACGCUGGGAAACUAGCGCUAAUACCGGAUACGCUCUUUUGGGGAAAGGCUUGCUGCCGAAGGAUCGGCCCGCGUCUGAUUAGCUCGUUGGUGGGGUAAUGGCCUACCAAGGCGACGAUCAGUAGCUGGUCUGAGAGGAUGAUCAGCCACACUGGGACUGAGACACGGCCCAGACUCCUACGGGAGGCAGCAGUGGGGAAUAUUGGACAAUGGGCGCAAGCCUGAUCCAGCCAUGCCGCGUGAGUGAUGAAGGCCUUAGGGUUGUAAAGCUCUUUUGUCCGGGACGAUAAUGACGGUACCGGAAGAAUAAGCCCCGGCUAACUUCGUG
rnacentral:rRNA from 1 species